GACGAACGCUGGCGGCGUGCUUAACACAUGCAAGUCGAACGGAAAGGCCCUGCUUUUGUGGGGUGCUCGAGUGGCGAACGGGUGAGUAACACGUGAGUAACCUGCCCUUGACUUUGGGAUAACUUCAGGAAACUGGGGCUAAUACCGGAUAGGAGCUCCUGCUGCAUGGUGGGGGUUGGAAAGUUUCGGCGGUUGGGGAUGGACUCGCGGCUUAUCAGCUUGUUGGUGGGGUAGUGGCUUACCAAGGCUUUGACGGGUAGCCGGCCUGAGAGGGUGACCGGCCACAUUGGGACUGAGAUACGGCCCAGACUCCUACGGGAGGCAGCAGUGGGGAAUAUUGCACAAUGGGCGGAAGCCUGAUGCAGCAACGCCGCGUGCGGGAUGACGGCCUUCGGGUGGUAAACCGCUUUCGCCUGUGACGAAGCGUGAGUGACGGGAAUGGGUAAAGAAGCACCGGCGAACUACGU
rnacentral:rRNA from 1 species